rnacentral:lncRNA from 1 species
CACUCUGUGCCAUCCCGAUCACUAAAAUAAAACACACAUUAAUCACAAUAUAACAACUCGGCUCAACCUAAUCAAGCGACAACUCGGCUCGACCUAAUUAAGCGCAAGUUUAGAAAGACAUCCCUUUCUUCCUACGAUAUUAUGUUGUCUGCAGCCAACAUAAUUAUCCAGCAAGAAAAGAUACAUCUGCUUGAAAAGAUACAUCUUUUUUAUUUACUUUUCAACUUCAUCUGAAGAGUUCAUAUAACUCAAU